GGAAUUGGAGGUGGAUGCUCCGAUGAUCAAAUGAGAAACUUGACAAAGCUCCUUAACAAUUACUCCACUGGAUCUUGCGUAGAAAUAGGAAAUGGAAAGCAAGAUUCCGUAUUCAUGCCGCUUACGAAACAAGCGAGUAUAGCUUGUGAGAAAAUCAAACAGAUGCCGGAGCUGAGUGAAGGUUACAACAUUGUUGGAGUGUCUCAAGGAAACUUAGCCGCUAGAGGCCUAAUCGAGUUCUGCGACAAUGCUCCUCCAAUCUUCAACUAUGUAUCUUUAGGAGGUCCUCACGCUGGCGUCGCUGCGAUCCCUGAGUGGUGUGAUGUGAGUUCUCUAUUUGUCUGUGUGUGUCAACCACAGUCACAUUCUUUCUUACAAUCACAAUCAAAAUAACAACAAUAAUGAGGUUUCUCUGUUUGCAGAAUUUUUUUUGCAAGAUCCUGAAGGCAUUUUUUUCACAGGUCUACAACGACGGAGUUCAAGUAAACCUUCUCUUAUUCUUCUUCCCUAAUCAGGGCUUAAACCUUCAACCAUGAUUAGUACCCAUAAUUAUUAAUAAUUAACAGACAAAGCUAUUACCCGGAUGGAGAUAACUCAACUAUUCUGCCUCCUCGAAAGACAAAGCUAUACACUGAGGAUUGGAUUGGUCUGAAAACCUUGGAUGCUGCUGGAAAAUUAAAGUUUGUUAGUCUCCCAGGCGCACACAUCCAAAUAAAGGAUGAAGAAGUUGUAGAAUACGUUGUGCCUUACCUCCAGA